rnacentral:rRNA from 1 species
AUUGAACGCUGGCGGCAGGCCUAACACAUGCAAGUCGAGCGGAUGAGAGGAGCUUGCUCCUCGAUUCAGCGGCGGACGGGUGAGUAAUGCCUAGGAAUCUGCCUAGUAGUGGGGGACAACGUUUCGAAAGGAACGCUAAUACCGCAUACGUCCUACGGGAGAAAGUGGGGGAUCUUCGGACCUCACGCUAUUAGAUGAGCCUAGGUCGGAUUAGCUAGUUGGUAGGGUAACGGCCUACCAAGGCGACGAUCCGUAACUGGUCUGAGAGGAUGGUCAGUCACACUGGAACUGAGACACGGUCCAGACUCCUACGGGAGGCAGCAGUGGGGAAUAUUGGACAAUGGGCGAAAGCCUGAUCCAGCCAUGCCGCGUGUGUGAAGAAGGUCUUCGGAUUGUAAAGCACUUUAAGUUGGGAGGAAGGGCAGUAAGUUAAUACCUUGCUGUAUUGACGUUACCGGCAGAAUAAGCACCGGCUAACUCUGUGCCAGCCGCCGCAGUAA